UGGGGAAUAUUGCACAAUGGGGGAAACCCUGAUGCAGCGACGCCGCGUGAGCGAAGAAGUAUUUCGGUAUGUAAAGCUCUAUCAGCAGGGAAGAAAAUGACGGUACCUGACUAAGAAGCCCCGGCUAACUACGUG
rnacentral:rRNA from 1 species